GUUCUCGUAGCUCAGAUGGAUAGAGCACAGGAUUCCUAAUCCUGGGGCCGUGGGUUCGACUCCCGCCGAGAACGCCA
rnacentral:tRNA from 1 species